CCUAAUCUAGGCAAAAAUAAUGGGGGUUUAGUUACAUACAGUUGUAUGAUCAUAUAAUGUAACUAAACCCCCAUUAUUUUUGCCUAGAUUAGG
rnacentral:miRNA from 1 species